AUGCGCUGUUCUGAUGUACUGUGGAGCAAGGAACCGCUGCCCAGGGCUUCAUCUCCACCCCCAGCGGUGAAGCUCAGUCCACGCUCCAGAUGUGGAUCCAGCGGAAGGAGAGAUUUGCACACGUAGCAACGAUGUAGAGAGAAGAUGCAGACUCUGCAGAUGGAGGGAGAGGGGUCGAAACAUUGGCCAGAAUCCGUGUACAGAGAGAACCUACAGCCGAAUCUGCGGGGGAGGGGGAGAGACCGCACCACCUCUCCUCCCACGUCUGUCACAUUCAGUCCACAUAUUACUCCCCAUAACUACAACCCUCAUCUAUUUCUUUCCCGGUUUAGGGUGAGCAAAUUGCUCCUAGUUUCCGAUUUCUGGCUGACUUGUGGCAUCGGAGGGCUCGGCUCUGGACAGUGACCACGUUCCUUUGUCUGUUUGAUGUCUGCAUGUAGACAUACAGCCUGGCUGGCGAUCUACAGGGCUCGUCUGCACAUAACUCUGACUGCGUGUGGUUUCAUGGCAUGGGCUAUUACUUCUCGAAGGAGGCCAUGAGCUGGAUGUCCAGUAGGAAGUUCUGCGAGGAGCAGGGGGCCAGCCUGGCCCUCAUCAGGGACGCUCAUAUAAAGGAUUCGGUGAGGCUGCCGUUUGCUUAUGAUCAGCAGGAGCCGCUGGAGGACAUGACAGAUCCUUUCUGAGUCCCUGAGCAGUCGUGGUUUAUGGAUUUCGGUCCAUUGCAGGACGACUUGAAACACUUCAUGCAGGACAGCGAGGGCCAGUGGUGUGGACAGGCUCUGGUAGACGGAGAGUUAAAGUGGCUAGACGAGAUGGCUGAUGAGAGCUGCUACUUGACCUGAGAAGAUGCUGGAGAGUAUGUAGGGGCGCUACUUCACCUUCUGCUGGUGGAAGGACCUAUAAACUGGGUGCUCAUAUUAUAUUAUAGCAGGACGGAGGUCGGCGACAUGUUCCUCUCCGCACAAUCCAGAAGAUGGGUGGAUCCGGUGAUCUUUCUCUGUUCCCCAAUUCACAGUGCAGGACAUGGUGAUGACUUGUCUCCACGUUCCUCAGAUCUCUCCCCAAUCUGCAUCUGUGGGAUGUGCUGGAAAACAAGUCCGAUCUAUGGAGGAUGCACCUCACCACGUAUAAGACUUCACCCUUUUACUGCCAGGGCAAUUUUAACACUUUCAAUCCACUCAAGUAAAUCCUAAUACAACCGCUUCCCCGAAUACCCAACUCUUUUACAGGUUAGACACGCACUUCUGUCCACGUGCAGAUAUCAUCACCACACCUGAAGAGACCAGAAACAGCCACAAUGGGCUGGAGGGAUGACAGGAGGAUAAGGUCCUGUAUCCACCCAUGAGGUCACUAGAGGAUGUAUGGGGCGAGAUUAGUAUAAACGGCUAUAGCUGGUGAGAGGGGUGAUAGCACGAAGAGAGGUUCCUGUAGGAGAAUCCAGCCGAGACUAGAAGGAAAUCUUUCCUGACGUCAUACAUGUUCUGGGCCUAUGAUGUUAGAGCUUUCUUCAUAUGAAAGCCGAGGCUGUGAGCUUCAGUCUGACGUCACGCUCGAGCCCUCACAGCCUAGCCAUGUAUAGUCCACAUAUUAUAAUUCCCUGGCAGUGAAAGGGUUUAAAUCCCAAGACAUUAACAUGACCUGGUGUGAACGUCAGCUUCCACAUUUCAGGCAUGGAUGAUCCUGCUGAAAACCCCACCACUUGUGGUUCCUCACUGUGCCGGCCGCUGGAUGUCAGUCCCAUCACCACAUCCAUCAGUCCUCAUCCACCUCCAGAGACCAAACUAACCCUGAUCCUCGGGGAUAUAAUGGAUAUCUUUAUACGCUGCGAUACCAGUCACAUUCCUGCGUCUGGAUGGAACUAUACCGCCUGCCUCCACUGAACAGUGCUGAUAAAGGAAGGACUGACUACGAUCCUGUAAUGGAAAAACAACCAAAGCCUGAAUAAUGGGGAAUAUAAGUAGGGGGUGUCCGCUAUGUCCUAGAGCAGGAA